UGUCCAGUAGCACCUUAGAGACCAACAAAGUUUGUUCUAGGUAUAAGCUUAGAAAAAACUUAGUUGGUCUCUAAGGUGCUACUGGCCA